rnacentral:tRNA from 1 species
GCGAGGGUUGCCGAGCCAGGUCAAAGGCGCUGGAUUUAGGGUCCAGUCUCGCAGGAGUUCAGGGGUUCGAAUCCCUUCCCUCGCA